GACGGACGCUGGCGGCGUGCUUAACACAUGCAAGUCGAACGGAAAGGCCCUGCUUUUGUGGGGUGCUCGAGUGGCGAACGGGUGAGUAACACGUGAGUAACCUGCCCUUGACUUUGGGAUAACUUCAGGAAACUGGGGCUAAUACCGGAUAGGAGCUCCUGCUGCAUGGUGGGGGUUGGAAAGUUUCGGCGGUUGGGGAUGGACUCGCGGCUUAUCAGCUUGUUGGUGGGGUAGUGGCUUACCAAGGCUUUGACGGGUAGCCGGCCUGAGAGGGUGACCGGCCACAUUGGGACUGAGAUACGGCCCAGACUCCUACGGGAGGCAGCAGUGGGGAAUAUUGCACAAUGGGCGGAAGCCUGAUGCAGCAACGCCGCGUACGGGAUGACGGCCUUCGGGUUGUAAACCGCUUUCGCCUGUGACGAAGCGUGAGUGACGGUAAUGGGUAAAGAAGCACCGGCUAACUACGUG
rnacentral:rRNA from 1 species